AUUGAACGCUGGCGGCAGGCCUAACACAUGCAAGUCGAACGGAAGCAGAGUGCUUGCUUCUGGUUACGGCGGCCGAGGGGUGGGCGAGGCCUAGAAACCUGCGUAUUUGUUUUUGCGAGCGUCCUGACACGGGCGCUAAUACCGCAUUCGUGCUGACGGCGUAAGGGGGGGAGCUUGGGACCUCACGCUAUUGCGCGAGCCGAGGUCGGAUUAGCUAGUUGGUGGGGUAAAGGCCUACCAAGGCGACGAUCCGUAGCUGGUCUGAGAGGAUGAUCAGCCACACUGGAACUGAGACACGGUCCAGACUCCUACGGGAGGCAGCAGUGGGGAAUAUUGGACAAUGGGCGAAAGCCUGAUCCAGCCAUGCCGCGUGUGUGAAGAAGGUCUUCGGAUUGUAAAGCCCUUUAGGUGGGGAAGAAGAGCAGUAAGUUAAUACCUCGCUGUUUUGACGGUACCAAAAGAAUAAGCACCGGCUAACUUCGUG
rnacentral:rRNA from 1 species